ensembl:misc_RNA Y_RNA Y RNA
GACUUUUCUGAAGACAAUGAGCUAUCUCAGUUAAUUCAAUCAGUUACAGAUCAAACUCCGUGUUCUACUGUGUUCCCCAUUCUCACUACUGCACUUGAAUAGCACUUAA